UUCAUCUUCAGCUUCUUCCUCCUUUUGGUUUCUGCUGGAGACAUAGUUCACCACGACGAUUCCCUCCCGCAGAGACCUGGUUGCAACAAUAAUUUCGUACUGGUGAAAGUCCCAACUCGAGUGAAUGGGACGGAAUACAUGGAGUAUGUUGGUGUAGGUGCUAGGUUUGGCCCAACCUUUGGAAUCUAAGGAGAAACAUGCUACCCUCAUCAAACUUGCUAUUGCUGACCCUCCUGACUGUUGCAGCACUCCCAAAAAUAAGCUUACAGGAGAGGUCAUUCUUGUUCACCGUGGUAAAUGCAGUUUUACCACCAAAA